GCGGGCAGACAGACGGAAAAGCCUCUCAUCAAACCAAGCAAAGACGGGGCAGAACAGAAGACAAUCAUUUUCUUCUCUCUCUUUUCUCAAUCUUUCUUUUUUUUUUUCAUUCCUCCCUGGGCUACCUCCGAACU
rnacentral:ribozyme from 11 species